rnacentral:rRNA from 1 species
GACGAACGCUGGCGGCGUGCUUAAUACAUGCAAGUCGAACGGACAGGCGCUGCUCUUGUGGGUUGCUCGUUUGGCGAACGGGUGUGUAACACGUGAGUAUACUGCCCCUGUAUUAGGGGUAACUCCUGGAAACUGCGGCUCAUAUACCAUAGGAGCUCCUGCUGCACGGUGGUCGUUGGAAAAUUUCGGCGGUUCGGGAUCGUCUCGCAGCUUAUCCGCUACUUUGUGAGGUAGUUGCUUUCCCAGCUUUCGACGGAUACCCGGCCUGAGAGAGGGAACGGCCACCUUGGGACUGAGGUAGGGCGCAGAAGGCUACGUGAGGCAGCAGUGGGGAAUAUUGCACAGUGGGCGGAAGCCUGAUGCAGCAGCGCCGCGUGCGGGAUAACGGGCUUCGGGUUGUAAACAACUUUCGACUGUAACGUAGCGGGAGUGACGGUAAUUAAUAAAGAAGCACCGGCUAACUACGUG